UUUGAUAGGAGGAUAAAGGAAGAUGGUCAUCUCCUUGGAAACUCUGAUGGCUUUAUGACUUCAGUUUAGCCUGCAGGCUAAAGUGUCAGUUACUGUCAGUUAUCAGUUAUCAGAGUGAAGAUGCCUCCCAAGAGGCAGGCUGGUCUUCAGAAGGGCUCCUGGACUCUGGGAAACCUUCCCUUUUUUUUUUUUUUUUGUAACCAGUUAUCAGAGGGGUGGCAUCUCUUCCCCUCAUUCCCCACGUUCCUCCACACAUUUCAUUACAGAGGAUGAAGUUAGACUACAUUUUCAAAGAAAGGAACUCAUUAUACCGUACUUAGGAUCUUCCAAGCCAACAGAUCCAUUCUCUGACUGGAGAAUGAAAGCCUGACAACUGCCUUGACCACAUCUUCUGCAACAGCUUAAACUCAAUUUAUGGACUACAAAUAAAAGAACCCUUUUUCCAACAGUGA